UUUCCAGUCAGGCUCCUGGCUUGAGUCCAGCUCUCAGCUACCUCCAGGCUCUAGCCAAGACCUGACUACAAC
rfam:Neotoma lepida isolate 417 scaffold_29197, whole genome shotgun sequence.